UGACGAUUGCGUUUGGUUCCUGGAGU
rnacentral:piRNA from 1 species